AAUGGGGGAAACCCUGACGCAGCAACGCCGCGUGGGUGAUGAAGGCCUUCGGGUCGUAAAGCCCUGUCGGGAGGGAAGAAAUGAUUAAGGGUUAAUACCCCUUGAUCUUGACGGUACCUCCGAAGGAAGCACCGGCUAACUCCGUGCCAGCAGCCGCGGUAAUACGGAGGGUGCAAGCGUUGUUCGGAAUUAUUGGGCGUAAAGCGCGUGUAGGCGGUUUCUUAAGUCUGAUGUGAAAGCCCCGGGCUCAACCUGGGAGGUGCAUUGGAAACUGGGGGACUUGAGUACGGGAGAGGAGAGUGGAAUUCCUAGUGUAGGAGUGAAAUCCGUAGAUAUUAGGAGGAACACCGGUGGCGAAGGCGGCUCUCUGGACCGAUACUGACGCUGAGACGCGAAAGCGUGGGUAGCAAA
rnacentral:rRNA from 1 species